rnacentral:pre_miRNA from 1 species
AUCUGAAAGUAGGAGGUCUGGAGAGUUAUGUGGCAGGAAGCCAAGCCAGGAAAUGUAAUGUAAUCGACAGCUCUAACUGAAACAUCCCUUAUAAGUUAUUUUUAGGGAACAAACCCUUAUAAGUAAUCACACUUCAUAAUGAGGCACAUUACUCCUCUAACUGAAACAUCCCUUAUAAGUUAUUUUUAGGGAACAAACCCUUAUAAGUAAUCACACUUCAUAAUGAGGCACAUUACUCAUCUAUAAAAUCAAUGUGGAUAGAUUGAUCAUCAUGACCUACAUGUGAGCUGUCGAUUAGAUUAGAUUUCCUGGCUUCCUGUCACAUAACUCUCCACGCCUCCUAUUUUCAGAUU